CCAGCAGUCGCGGUUAGACGAAUAAUACAAGUAAAUUUUAUUAGAAUGAGUUAAAUUUUUGUUUUUUUUAUUUAUAAUUAAUUUAUUAAGUGAAAUUUUAAAUUAAUAUAAGUAAUUUAAGGAUUAGUUGAAGCUUGGAAAUUUUAAGAAAAAACUAGGAUUAGAUACCCUAUUAUUUAAAUUGAAUUUAGUUUUCUUAGGUAGUAGCAGUUAUGUUCUUUAAACUUAAAAGAUUUGGCGGUAUUUUAGUCUAUCCAGAGGAACCUGUUCUGUAAUCGAUAGUCCACGUUGAACCUUACUUAUCUUUGUAUUCAGCUUAUAUACCGUCGUUAUAAGAAUAUUUUAUAAGAAUAAUAAUUUUCUAUUAUUUUAACAGGAAUUUAUAUCAGAUCAAGGUGUAGCUAAUAGUUAAGUAGAAAUGGGUUACAUUAAUUUUAUUUAUACGGAUUUAAAUAUGAAAAAUUUAUUGAAGGUGGAUUUGGUAGUAAAAUUAAAUAUAUAAUUAAUUUGAUUUUAGCUCUAAAAUAUGC
rnacentral:rRNA from 1 species